rnacentral:rRNA from 1 species
UACGGAGGGUGCAAGCGUUAUCCGGAUUUACUGGGUUUAAAGGGUGCGUAGGCGGGCCCUUAAGUCAGCGGUGAAAGCUCCGAGCUUAACUCGGAAACUGCCAUUGAUACUAUAGGUCUUGAAUUCGGUCGAGGUUGGCGGAAUGUGUCGUGUAGCGGUGAAAUGCUUAGAUAUGACACAGAACACCGAUUGCGAAGGCAGCUAGCUAGACCGACAUUGACGCUGAGGCACGAAAGCGUGGGGAUCAAACAGG